UACGUAGGGGGCUAGCGUUGUCCGGAAUCAUUGGGCGUAAAGAGCGUGUAGGCGGUCCGGUAAGUCCGCUGUGAAAGUCGGGGGGCUCAACCCUCGAAUGCCGGUGGAUACUGUCGGGCUAGAGUGCGGAAGAGGCGAGUGGAAUUCCUGGUGUAGCGGUGAAAUGCGCAGAUAUCAGGAGGAACACCUAUUGCGAAGGCAGCUCGCUGGGACGUUACUGACGCUGAGACGCGAAAGCGUGGGGGAGCAAACAGG
rnacentral:rRNA from 1 species